rnacentral:rRNA from 1 species
UUAUAAUAAUUUACAACUUUUCAACAAACGGAUCUUUAUGGUUUCUGCCAUCUAUGAAAGAAGGCAGCGAUAUUGCGAUUAAGUAGUGUGAAUUGCAGAAUUCAGUGAAUCAUCGAAUCUUUGAACGCACAUUGCGCCCUUUUGUAUUCCAAAGGGCAUGCUUGUUAGAGCGUCAUUUGUACCCUCAAGCUUUGCUUGGUGUUGGGCGUCUUGUCUCCAGUUCGCUGGGGACUCGCCUUAAAGUUAUUGGCAGCCGGCCUACUGGUUUCGGAGCGCAGCACAAGUCGCGCUCUCUUCCAGCCAAGGUCAGCAUCCACAAAGCCUUUUUUCAACUUUUGACCUCGGAUCAGGUAGGGAUACCCGCUGAACUUAAGCAUAUCAAUAAGCGGAGGAAAAGAAACCAACAGGGAUUGCCCUAGUAACGGCGAGUGAAGCGGCAACAGCUCAAAUUUGAAAUCUGGCUCUUUUAGAGUCCGAGUUGUAAUUUGCAGAGGGCGCUUUGGCUUUGGCAGCGGUCCAAGUUCCUUGGAACAGGACGUCACAGAGGGUGAGAAUCCCGUACGUGGUCGCUGGCUAUUGCCGUGUAAAGCCCCUUCGACGAGUCGAGUUGUUUGGGAAUGCAGCUCUAAAUGGGAGGUACAUUUCUUCUAAAGCUAAAUAUUGGCCAGAGACCGAUAGCGCACAAGUAGAGUGAUCGAAAGAUGAAAAGCACUUUGGAAAGAGAGUCAAACAGCACGUGAAAUUGUUGAAAGGGAAGCGCUUGCAGCCAGACUUGCUUGCAGUUGCUCAUCCGGGCUUUUGCCCGGUGCACUCUUCUGUAGGCAGGCCAGCAUCAGUUUGGGCGGUAGGAUAAAGGUCUCUGUCACGUACCUCUCUUCGGGGAGGCCUUAUAGGGGAGACGACAUACUACCAGCCUGGACUGAGGUCCGCGCAUCUGCUAGAUGCUGGCGUAUGUCUCGGGGUUU